AGAGAACUUAGCAGAGAUGCUUUGGUGCCUUCGGGAACUCUGAGACAGGUGCUGCAUGGCUGUCGUCAGCUCGUGUUGUGAAAUGUUGGGUUAAGUCCCGCAACGAGCGCAACCCUUAUCCUUUGUUGCCAGCGGCUCGGCCGGGAACUCAAAGGAGACUGCCGGUGAUAAACCGGAGGAAGGUGGGGAUGACGUCAAGUCAUCAUGGCCCUUACGGCCAGGGCUACACACGUGCUACAAUGGCGCAUACAAAGAGAAGCGACCUCGCGAGAGCAAGCGGACCUCAUAAAGUGCGUCGUAGUCCGGAUUGGAGUCUGCAACUCGACUCCAUGAAGUCGGAAUCGCUAGUAAUCGUAGAUCAGAAUGCUACGGUCGAAUACGUUCCCGGGCCUUGUACACACCGCCCGUCACACCAUGGGAGUGGGUUGCAAAAGAAGUAGGUAGCUUAACCUUCGGGAGGGCGCUUACCACUUUGUGAUUCAUGACUGGGGUGAAGUCGUAACAAGGUAGGCGUAGCGAG
rnacentral:rRNA from 1 species